AGCAGUGUGGCUCAGUGGAAAGAGCCCGGGCUUGGGAGUCAGAGGUCAGGGGUUCGAAUCCCAGCUCUGCCA
rnacentral:tRNA from 1 species